GACAGAGGAGCCAAGCGUUGUCCGGAUUGACUGGGCGUAAAGCGCACGCAGGCGGCUGUGCACGUGGGGUGUGAAAGCUGGCGGCUUAACUGCCAGACGCCACCUCAUACGGCACGGCUCGAGCCCGUGAGAGGUCCACGGAAUUGCCGGUGUAGUGGUGAAAUGCGUAGAGAUCGGCAGGAACACCCAGGGGGAAACCAGUGGACUGGCACGGUGCUGACGCUCAGGUGCGGAAGCGUGGGGAGCGAACCGG
rnacentral:rRNA from 1 species